rnacentral:ncRNA from 1 species
UAGCAGGGAAUGAGGUUCUCCCUUGAAUAUUAAUUCUAAACCGCUUUUUAGCUGAUGACUUCUGCGAUU